rnacentral:rRNA from 1 species
GACGAACGCUGGCGGCGUGCCUAAUACAUGCAAGUUGAGCGAUGAAGCUUGGUGCUUGCACCAAUUUGAAGAGCAGCGAACGGGUGAGUAACGCGUGGGGAAUCUGCCUUUGAGCGGGGGACAACAUUUGGAAACGAAUGCUAAUACCGCAUAAUAACUUUAAACAUAAGUUUUAAGUUUGAAAGAUGCAAUUGCAUCACUCAAAGAUGAUCCCGCGUUGUAUUAGCUAGUUGGUGAGGUAAAGGCUCACCAAGGCGAUGAUACAUAGCCGACCUGAGAGGGUGAUCGGCCAAAUUGGGACUGAGACACGGCCCAAACUCCUACGGGAGGCAGCAGUAGGGAAUCUUCGGCAAUGGACGAAAGUCUGACCGAGCAACGCCGCGGGAGUGAAGAAGGUUUUCGGAUCGUAAAACUCUGUUGGUAGAGAAGAACGUUGGUGAGAGUGGAAAGCUCAUCAAGUGACGGUAACUACCCAGAAAGGGACGGCUAACUACGUG